UACGGAGGGAGCUAGCGUUGUUCGGAAUUACUGGGCGUAAAGCGUGCGUAGGCGGUUAUUCAAGUCAGAGGUGAAAGCCCGGGGCUCAACCCCGGAACGGCCUUUGAAACUAGGUAACUAGAAUCUUGGAGAGGUUAGUGGAAUUCCGAGUGUAGAGGUGAAAUUCGUAGAUAUUCGGAAGAACACCAGUGGCGAAGGCGACACACUGGGCCAUUACUGACGCUGAGGCGCGAAAGCGUGGGGAGCAAACAGG
rnacentral:rRNA from 1 species